rnacentral:rRNA from 1 species
GACGAACGCUGGCGGCGUGCUUAACACAUGCAAGUCGAACGGAAAGGCCCUGCUUGUGUUGGGUGCUCGAGUGGCGAACGGGUGAGUAACACGUGAGUAACCUGCCCUUGACUUUGGAAUAACUUCAGGAAACUGGGGCUAAUACCGGAUAGGAGCUCCUGCUGCAUGGUGGGGGUUGGAUAGUUUCGGCGGUUGGGGAUGGACUCGCGGCUUAUCAGCUUGUUGGUGGGGUGGUGGCUUACCAAGGCUUUGACGGGUAGCCGGCCUGAGAGGGUGACCGGCCAAAUUGGGACGGAGAUACGGCCCAGACUCCUACGGGAGGCAGCGGUGGGAAAUUUUGCACAAUGGGCGGAAGCCUGAUGCAGCAACGCCGCGGGCGGGAUGACGGCCUUGGGGUUGUAAACCGCUUCCACCGGGGACGAAGCGUGAGUGACGGUAAUGGGUAAAGAAGCACCGGCUAACUACGUG